UCCUUUGGUUCUUAAGUGUGAUGAUUGGGUUUUUACGCUAUUGUGCCUCCCUCUAAACCUUGUUACGACAGUGGCACUUUACCCUCUGA
rnacentral:snoRNA from 1 species